AUGUUGCCAUCUAUUUAAUCAUCAUUCUCUUUACUCGAUUGCAUAUUAAUCCGUAUUCUUUUUUAUUUGCAUGAACUCUCCCUCAUGAGUCCGCCGGACUCCCAUUUCUCGCAUUUGGUUGGGCUAAACCCCAACUUCCAUAGAGUCAAGACCCAUGUCAAAUCCAAAAGGGACUAAUGCGCAAGAAACAACACCGAUAUACAAUUAUAUACAGUGAAUAUACAUAGGAAGCAGCAGCAGCACGCUAUUCCACGGUCUAUGAUGGCAAAAUGGAUCAAAAUACGUAGGUAUCCACACUGAUAUACACCGUAUACGCGGUGGUAUAUAGAAAAACGCAGCAAAGGAGUUGCUGAUAUACAGAAGAUAUACAGCAGAUAUACAGGGGCAAAAUAAUGGGCUAAAGUCUACGGAAUUGGCCCAAAAUUUGACAGAUUUUUAAUGGGCCAAAAGGGGCCCAAUUUUCACUCUUCUCUCUUUAAUUAUCCAUUCUAAUUUUAUUUGUAUUUGCUUGAACACUUUAAUUAAUCAAUCUAGAU
rnacentral:lncRNA from 1 species